rnacentral:rRNA from 1 species
CUCAGAGCGAACGCUGGCGGCAGGCCUAACACAUGCAAGUCGAACGAACUCUUCGGAGUUAGUGGCGGACGGGUGAGUAACACGUGGGAACGUGCCUUUAGGUUCGGAAUAACUCAGGGAAACUUGUGCUAAUACCGAAUGUGCCCUUCGGGGGAAAGAUUUAUCGCCUUUAGAGCGGCCCGCGUCUGAUUAGCUAGUUGGUGAGGUAAAGGCUCACCAAGGCGACGAUCAGUAGCUGGUCUGAGAGGAUGAUCAGCCACAUUGGGACUGAGACACGGCCCAAACUCCUACGGGAGGCAGCAGUGGGGAAUCUUGCGCAAUGGGCGAAAGCCUGACGCAGCCAUGCCGCGUGAAUGAUGAAGGUCUUAGGAUUGUAAAAUUCUUUCAGUAGGGACGAUAAUGACGGUACCUACAGAAGAAGCCCCGGCUAACUUCGUGCCAGCAGCCGCGGUAAUACGAAGGGGGCUAGCGUUGCUCGGAAUUACUGGGCGUAAAGGGAGCGUAGGCGGACAUUUAAGUCAGGGGUGAAAUCCCGGGGCUCAACCUCGGAAUUGCCUUUGAUACUGGGUGUCUUGAGUGUGAGAGAGGUAUGUGGAACUCCGAGUGUAGAGGUGAAAUUCGUAGAUAUUCGGAAGAACACCAGUGGCGAAGGCGACAUACUGGCUCAUUACUGACGCUGAGGCUCGAAAGCGUGGGGAGCAAACAGGAUUAGAUACCCUGGUAGUCCACGCCGUAAACGAUGAUUGCUAGUUGUCGGGAUGCAUGCAUUUCGGUGACGCAGCUAACGCAUUAAGCAAUC